UUACGUCCAUAUCACUUUGAAACACCACUUCUCGUACGAUCACUGAAGUUAAGCAACGUUGAUAGCAUUCAGUACUUAGAUGGAUGACCGCUUGUGAAAAUCAUGUG